CGGCUUACCUCGGGGUGCCACCAGAUGUGGCUGAGAUGCGCAAGCGGACCCGUAGAACCUGACCCGGCUAAAACCGGCGGAGGGAAGGUAUUCGCCUCAUAG
rnacentral:ncRNA from 2 species